UACGGAGGUCCCAAGCGUUGUUCGGAUUCACUGGGCGUAAAGGGUGCGUAGGUGGUGAGGUAAGUUCGAUGUGAAAUCUCCGGGCUCAACCCGGAAAAGGCAUUGAAUACUAUCUUGCUCGAGGUUUGGAGGGGGGACUGGAAUUCUCGGUGUAGCAGUGAAAUGCGUAGAUAUCGAGAGGAACACCGGUGGCGAAGGCGAGUCCCUGGACAACACCUGACACUGAGGCACGAAAGCUAGGGGAGCAAACAGGAUUAGAAACCCAGUAGUCC
rnacentral:rRNA from 1 species